CCCAACCCAAACCCACCAAUAAGUCAAAAAGUACAUUUUUUUAGGACAUCCAAACCAACCCUUAAUUUUUUUUUAGGCAUGCCACGUCACUAGAGCUGUUUUUAGUGGUCUUAUUUUAGUGGUCUGUAUCAUAGUUGCCUCUUCUAGAGUUUUUUUUCUUGUCAUGGCCCGAGCUUACACUGUCUCCAUGGACUGCAAAUUCAGAGCCGAUGCUAGAGUUACUUGUCGGUCCUGUGCUACAAGUUGUGCAAAUAUAAUUUUUAAAUUUUUUUUUAAUAUUUUUGUAUUUUGUUUUAUUAUUUUUUUCUCAUUUAUAGAGGUUUUUCUUUAUUUUCUAUGAAAAUUUGGGUUUGUCUGUGUUAUUGGUAGUCGCAGUAUGUUGCAAUUAUGAUCCUUGGUUGAUGAUCGCGGUAUAUUGCUGGCUAUGGUUAUUGGAUGUUCAAGUGUUCGCAUUUGAAAUACUGAACAUUUGCUGUAAUUCCUUUUAGAGUUAGAAAUAAUCAUUCUUGAUGUAUUUGUUUUUGUCUAUCAAUAAAAUUUAACUUUGGCAAA